rnacentral:rRNA from 1 species
UACAGAGGUCCCAAGCGUUGUUCGGAUUCACUGGGCGUAAAGGGUGCGUAGGUGGUCGGGUAAGUUCGGUGUGAAAUCUCCAGGCUUAACUUGGAAACGGCAUCGAAAACUACUUGGCUAGAGGAUCGGAAGGGAGACUGGAAUUCUCGGUGUAGCAGUGAAAUGCGUAGAUAUCGAGAGGAACACCAGUGGCGAAGGCGAGUCUCUGGACGAUUCCUGACGCUGAGGCACGAAAGCUAGGGGAGCAAACAGG